rnacentral:rRNA from 1 species
GACGAACGCUGGCGGCGUGCUUAACACAUGCAAGUCGAACGGAGUGGCGAACGGGUGAGUAACACGUGGGUGAUCUGCCUUGCACUUCGGGAUAAGCUUGGGAAACUGGGUCUAAUACCUGAUAGUGCAAGAUGAGCUCGCGGCCGAUCAGAUUGUUGGUGGGGUAAUGGCCUACCAAGGCGUCGACGGGUAGCCGGCCUGGGAGGGUGUGCGGCGACAUUGGGACUAGGAUACGGCGCGGGGUACUACGGGGGGCAGCAGUGGGGAGUAUUGCACAAUGGUCGGACGCCGGAGGCAGCGACGCCGCGUGGGGGAUGAAGGCCUUCGGGUUGUAAACUCCUUUCGACAGAGACGCGGUACCUGGAUAAGAAGCACCGGCUAACUACGUGCCAGCAGCCGCGGUAAUUC